rnacentral:rRNA from 1 species
GGGGAUUCGCUAGGCAAAUCCGGUGAAUCACAAACCCUGAGGGAUCGAAGCGAGAGCCGCAAGGCUCAUAAAGUCGUAGACGCCACGCUGCCGAGAAAAGCCUCUAAGGAGAUAUUCGGGUACCCGUACCGCAAACCGACACAGGUAGGCGAGGAGAAAAUCCUCAGGCGCAAGUGAGAACACUCGUUUAGGA